GGAUUGUGGUAGAUCCUACCAGUUCUCGACGGGGGGCUGGGUGAAGUGGGUUGAGAGGCACGGGGGAGCUGGGGAGCCCCCCGAAAAAGAAAUUAAUAAAAAGACCUGAGCCUUGUACGAUCGGCAGGCCACAGUUGAAUAAUACCUCAGCCGUGUACGAUCGGGAAGGAAACUGUGAGUGUAUAUCUCAGCCGUGUACGAUCGGGAGAUAUUCGUAUGAAUGUGAGAUUGUGUGACUGGCAAGUAAUAUUGCAUUAUUCGAUGUAGUUAUUGUUAUUAGACAAAGGGUCUAAAGUGUGUCGAACGGUAUGAAUAUUAUGUGACUUGUGGGGGCAUAAGAUGUAUACAUUGUUAUAAGGUGUAUAAGUAUAAUAUCUGUUAUAACAUAGGAAUAUGGACGUAUGUAUGGUAUUAAAUAUCAACUGAGUGAAGAGGUCAGUAUGAACAGGAAGUGUCUCUGAGGGGACCUUGAUUCAGACUGAGCAGAGAAGGAGGAAGUAGAGGUGAAGUGAUUCAGAGGUUGCUCCUCCCACUAUUUGGCUCCCUCUAGUGGCGCUGAGCAGAAUUACAGGAGAAGCUGCUGACACCCGCAGGAGCUGGGAGGUACUGCAUCAGGACAUUGGAAAAUUGCUUCAUCUGGUGGAGGAACCAUCGAACUACAAUUGAAUGCAAACAAAUAGAAAGAUGAACGAUGACAGAUGGGGCCCACCAGAAAAAUGGGUCAAUCUGGGGAUUCAAGUUGAAUCUAUCUUAAAGGCAGGAAGAAUGACAUGUAGGGAAAAGGAUGCCCAGGCAGAGAUGGACGAGUAUAAGGAGAUGCUGAUGCAGCUUAUAAAGGAUAAAGGUAAGACUCUAAAGGAUCACACUGCCCUCAUCCCAUGGCUAUGGGCGAAGUCAGUACAGCACAGGCGUUGUGCCGAGGAGGCUAAGAAGGAUCGGGACAAGGCCUCCCCUUUCUACUGGAGCAAACUGAGACAGAGAGCAAACGAAGAGGAAACUGAAGCACACCGAUGGACCAAUCUAGCCCUCUGGUGGCAGGGGACUCAGCACAUGCACAAGAACAAAGAAUGGAAGAAAACAGUGGAAACAGAAGUGAAGCAGUCACCACCGCCUUAUUCUGCGAGUAGGCCGACUGCACCCCCUCCAGCAGGACUAUAUCCGGUGAUGGACAUCUCCAAGGGAGAAUUACAGGUGUCGGAUAUGCCUCCUGUGCUCAGAACCUCCUCCCCGGAUCACCGGGAUGGGGACUGCAGAGGAGGGGAACAGCCCCCUCGUGACAAGAAGCCUGCCUAUGACAGCGGAGAGGACAGUCACCCAUUCCAGGAUCGGGCCAGACGUGAACAGCCCUCCAGACAACCUAUACCGCAGCUACAGGUAGAGAAGCCUGCACGAAGAGAGAGAGACAGAGGCGAGCGAGAAGUGCUGUUACGGUUCACACCACAGGAGGGUUCUCGAACCCCUGGGUCCAUACUAUUAUGGGCGGAAGGAAAAUGGAGACCUGAGGAGGAACCUCUGGACACAGAUGAACACGAUACGCUGUCUUGGUCUCCAUACAGGGAGUGUGAGUCUCCAGGACAAGAGAACAGGAAGAAACCGGUAAGGACAGGCAAGGAAUGGAGACUACAGCGCUCACCUCUGCCGAGCCACACACUAACAGUAAGAUCUGAGGAGGAGGAAGACUGGGAUGUGGAGAAUGGAGGACCGAGCUGUGCGGGACCGAGGUCCCAGAAUGAUGUGUUGAUGUUCCCCUUGAUGGCCACCGGAGGUGGGUUUAAAUACCGGCCCUACAGGUUGGGGGAUGUGCAGGCUUUGGUGGACCAACUUUCCCCAGUGGCAGAGGGGGGAGGCCUGUGGCUUGGAAAAUUGGACGCAGGACAGAGACUAGCUAUUGGGGAUUUUAGAGCCGUGAUUCAGAGAUGCCUGACCAGCAUGGAUGCAAGAGAUAUAGAGAAGGCUGCGGGCACCCUCCGCAGACCAGAUGAGGAGCCAUUCGCCCGGUGGGCUGGUGACCUGAGCAAGGCAAUCCGCGAGAAAUAUCCGCUGCCAAAUUCAGCAGCGGUCCCAAAGGUCACUUGGAACGUUAAAGACAACCCCAGAGUCUUCUUAGACCAGAGUAAAGAGUUGUGGAUCCGACAGACAGGGUGUCACCCAGGUAAAUCGGGUCCCCAAAGGGAGUGGUACCGACAGGCGGUAUUGGAGGGGGUCCCAGAAAAGGUCAAAAC
rnacentral:lncRNA from 1 species